rnacentral:rRNA from 1 species
UUCGGGAGGCCGCCCGUAGGGGAUUUUUCGCCAUGGCCGCAAGUCUGACCCCGCACCACCCGCCGCAGUGAAGAAGGCCUUCGGGUCGUAAAACUCUGUUUUCGGGAAGGAGCAAGCUCUAGUUUAUAAGCUGGCNCCUGACGUCCUGCCGAGCAGUCCCUU